UAGGGAAUCUUCCACAAUGGACGCAAGUCUGAUGGAGCAACGCCGCGUGAGUGAAGAAGGUUUUCGGAUCGUAAAGCUCUGUUGUUGGUGAAGAAGGAUAGAGGCAGUAACUGGUCUUUAUUUGACGGUAAUCAACCAGAAAGUCACGGCUAACUACGUGCCAGCAGCCGCGGUAAUACGUAGGUGGCAAGCGUUGUCCGGAUUUAUUGGGCGUAAAGCGAGCGCAGGCGGAAUGAUAAGUCUGAUGUGAAAGCCCACGGCUCAACCGUGGAACUGCAUCGGAAACUGUCAUUCUUGAGUGCAGAAGAGGAGGGUGGAAUUCCAUGUGUAGCAGUGGAAUGCGUAGAUAUAUGGAAGAACACCAGUGGCGAAGGCGGCUCUCUGGUCUGCAACUGACGCUGAGGCUCGAAAGCAUGGGUAGCGAACAGG
rnacentral:rRNA from 1 species